GGAAGGGUGCCAGAGUGGACGAUCGGGUCGGUCUCGAAAACCGAUGUAGUCGUUUCGACUACCGAGGGUUCGAAUCCCUCCCCUUCCGCCA
rnacentral:tRNA from 1 species